UACGGAGGAUGCAAGCGUUAUCCGGAAUGAUUGGGCGUAAAGCGUCCGUAGGUGGUGAUGUAAGUCUGUGGUUAAAGCGUGGGGCUCAACCCCAUAAAGGCCAUGGAAACUACAUAACUUGAGUGAAGUAGGGGUAGAGGGAAUUCCCAGUGUAGCGGUGAAAUGCGUAGAGAUUGGGAAGAACACCGGUGGCGAAAGCGCUCUACUGGACUUAAACUGACACUGAGGGACGAAAGCUAGGGGAGCGAAAGGG
rnacentral:rRNA from 1 species